rnacentral:lncRNA from 1 species
GGCUUCCUUCUGACCGUGACCGUGUGUUUCCACGUCCGACGGGCUCCGAGGUAGUUGAGAGCCGGUUUGCUCCCUUCCCCCGCCCUCUAUCACCUUUAAUGCUUAGUUCCUUCGUUUGCAAAGUCCUGACACCGUGGGCGUCACGGAGGCGAAAGUAAAAAGCCGCCUUUGCCACUCCCCAGAUCCUCUGGAGGCUGGAGGCACCGGCCAGACGGUCAGACCCAUCAGCCCACAAGACUUCCGCAGGGGGCGAGGGCACUGGACCUGCUUUGACUUGGCCUUCCUCAAUCCGUGCUGACGUCACGGCCCGAGAACCCCUUGGGUCUGCGGAGGAGGUAACAAGUUCGAAUUUUGUAUCUCUUCCUAGUUAUUCCCAUCUGUUACUGAUGUUUAAGUCCUUGGACUGCGUCGCCCUCGAAUUCUCCAGCUCGGACUUUUCCUUUGCCUUUGAGGCUAACAUUCUGUUACUCUCAUUUUUGUUUUCUACUUUUCUCCUUCAGAGUAAAGAAAAUUCGUUUAAAUG